rnacentral:lncRNA from 1 species
UGAAAGAUUUCACCAACAUAUUCACAACAGCAUGCAAUUUAAAACUUAUUUUGAAGUUGGGAGAAGUGGCAAAACGUGAAAAGCAAGAAGCAAAUAUUACCAGAGACACCUAUGAAAAAGAAAUCUUUCUGAAGAACAUUUUUAAAGUGCCAUAAUCUGUUCGCUCAUGGCCCAUAGUGUUGGUGAGGCCAACACUAUAGCUGCAAGCACUUACUUCAUUUAAGAAGUUUAUCGAGAGCUUUAUAAAUAAAUUCUGUUCUCCAUCUACUAUGCAAAUAAAAC